UGGGGAAUAUUGCACAAUGGGGGAAACCCUGAUGCAGCGACGCCGAGUGAGGGAAGAAGGUUUUCGGAUUGUAAACCUCUGUCCUUGGUGAAGAUAAUGACGGUAACCAAGGAGGAAGCUACGGCUAACUACGUGCC
rnacentral:rRNA from 1 species